GAUGAAGAACGCAGCGAAAUGCGAUAAGUAGUGUGAAUUGCAGAAUUCAGUGAAUCAUCGAAUCUUUGAACGCACAUUGCGCCCUGUGGUAUUCCGCAGGGCAUGCCUGUUCGAGCGUCAUUGACACCCUCAAGCUCUGCUUGGUCUUGGGCGUUUGUGCCUGCCGUUGCGCAGGGACUCGCCUCAAACUCAUUGGCAGCCUGCCUUUGCCGGUCUUUGCACAGCACAGUCGUGCCAAAGCCGCGGUGAGCAGGCGCUCCACAAGCCCCUUUCAGCUUGACCUCGGAUCAGGUAGGAAUACCCGCUGAACUUAAGCAUAUCAAUAAGCGGAGGA
rnacentral:misc_RNA from 1 species